CCUACGGGAGGCUGCAGUGAGGAAUAUUGGUCAAUGGGCGCUAGCCUGAACCAGCCAAGUAGCGUGAAGGAUGAAUGCCCUAUGGGUGGUAAGCUUCUUUUAUAUGGGAAUAAUGUGCAGUAUGUAUACUUCUUUGCAUGUACCUUAAGAAUAAGCAUCGGCUAACGACGUGCCAGCCGCCGCGGUAAUACGGAGGCUCCGAGCGUUAUCCGGAUUUGUUGGGUUUAAAGGGAGCGUAGGCGGGUUGGUAAGUGAGUUGUGAAAGUUGGCGGCUCAACCGUAAAAUUGCAGUUGAUACUGGCAUCCUUGAGUACAGUAGAGGUAGGCGGAAUUCGUGGUGUAGCGGUGAAAUGCUUAGAUAUUACGAAGAACUCCGAUUGCGAAGGCAGCCUGCUGGACUGUAACUGACGCUGAGGCUCGAAAGUGUGGGUAUCAAACAGGAUUAGAUACCCUUGUAGUC
rnacentral:rRNA from 1 species